CCUAGGCACGAAACCUCUGGUUAGGUCUUGAGCAUCUUCAGGGUUUUAUUUUUAUUGUGUUUCUAAGCUUCAUAGGUAUCAAGCAAUCACAAAUGGCCGAGUGUUAGACCGGGUAAAAAGGCGAAAAAAUGGGUUUUCGUUUAAGGCCCUGUUUGGUUAAAAACUUGGGGGCAAGUUGGAGAGCCAGGAUUCCAAACGUGGAAUGCACGGAGCUCAAGUGAGAGUUGAGUCACGUGAGGUAAGAAUUCUCUAGAUGCUUCUAGAAAAGGGUAUUUAAAUAGAACAAAACCGACUCUGUGGUGAUCUUUGACCCUUUUUCCUAUUUCUUGAGCGAGUGAGAGCUUUGAAAUGGGAGAGAAGAGAAAAAUGUGGUUUUAGAGAGAGUUGAGAAGUGAGAUUCAAUAUCCACGGUGGAAGAAUUCAGAACUGUUAGCAGAGGUCUUUGGAGGGAAGAUCAUCAAGCAACUCGGUUUCAUAAGCUGAACCUCUAUUUCAGGACCAUGACAAUGAAACACAUUAUUUGUGAUCUAGCUUUGUGUGGAUUUGAAAGAUAUCCUGCAUCUGCAUAUCCAAGCAAUUGUUGUUUUGAUUCAUUUGAAUAAAAUAGACUCAUGUAAUUAGUUUCACAAAGAUAAUGUAAUAUAUGUUUGAUACCAUUCCAAUAUCUUCAAGUUUGAGCAGAACUGUAUUUUGCUAAUAAAUUGACAAAAAAACAAUAUUUGGACAUGUAUAAUUGGUAAGAUAAAUAAGUACACCAAUAAUGUUGAGAUAUGGUACUUUAGGACCAAGUAAUUCUUCACUUUUUUUGCGAGGGUGAAAUGAGUCAUUUUUCAUAUUAAGUGAUUAGACAAUCAUUGGAGAACUUAAAGGAUGAGUUUUAUCCAUAUGAAAACCCCUCAAAAUUUUCUUAAUGUAUGUUGAUUGAUGUAUUAAAACUCCAUUUAGAAAAUGCUCGAUCUAUAGGCUGAGACAAAAUCUUUCACCUCAAAUUCCUUUUUCAAAUGAUAUGUUGUUCUUGUGAGCUCUUUAGGAGUUUCAACAAGAUUUAAGCCAUUAACAUACAUUGCAAUAAUUGUAAAUCUGGUUUCUGAUUUCUUAAUGAAGAUGUAUGAACAUAUAGGGUUAUUCACAUACCCUUCUUUUAGCAAGUAUUCGCUAAUGUGAUUAUACCACAUGCAUCCAAAUUGCUUUAAUUCAUACAAGGAUCAUUGUACCUUGAUUGAGUACAUGUUACGAGGCUCUCUACUAUUUGCUUUAAGCAAUUUAAAUCCUUCAAGGGUUUUCAUGUAUAUAUCAUUAUCUAUGGAUCCAUAUAAAUAUGAUAUAAUAACAUCUAUGAGAUGCAUAUUCAAUCCUUCUAAGACUGUCAAACUAAUUAAGAAAUGAAAUGUUAUUGUGUCCAUGACGAGAAAGUAUGUUUUCUUGUAGUCAAUACCAAUUCUCUAUGAGAAACCUUGUGCUACUAAUCGUACUUUAUAUCUUAUGAUCUCAUCAUUCUCAUUGUGUUUUCGUACAAAUACCCAUUUGUACCUAAUAGGCUUUACAUCUUCAAGUGUUUGGACUAUUGGUUAAAAAACUUCUCGUUUUGUUAAUGAGUUUCACCCUGCCUACAUAGCUUUUUUCCAUUUUGGCCAAUCAUUUCUAUGUUAACAUUAUUCCAUAUUUCAUGGUUUGAGAUUUUCAUCAUUUCUUAUAAUAUUAGAGGCCACUUGGAAAGAGAAAAUAUUAUUAACAUUUUCUCUUGUGUGUACAUAACUUACUGACAUCUCACAAUUUUUAGGUACCUGUACCUUUUUAGGGGCUACUUAUUCAAUAUGUGCCUUUUUAGGGGUUUCUUGUUUAAUAUGUGCAUUUUCAAGGACUUUUUGCAUUAUUUGUUCUUUUUUUGGGGCAAUAGAUUUCUUAAUUUUAGAUCGAUCAAUCAUUUUGAUGGUUGCUUCUAGAGUAACAAAUUUUCUUUAUGUUCUCUUCUUUUGGGGAAUUAUAUCCUUUGAGCUGAUAGGUCUACCACGCUUUAGGUGUAUCUUAGAUUCAUUUGUUAAUUGUUCUACAAGGACAUCAAUCCAUGCUGGAGUAUUUGCAUCCGGGAUAUGUGACUUUGUUACUUUCUUUGUAUUUAUGAAUGUAUCUGGUAAUUGAUUUGCAAGAUUUUGAAAAUGAAUGAUCCUUUGAACUUCUAGUUCACAUUGAUUUGUAUAAGGAUUAAGAUGGGACAUAGUAGAUGCCUUCUAAGUAAUUUCUCGCCAUUAUUCAAGAAUCGGCUUUUCUUUCCUUAAUGAGAAGAAAACACUUUCAUUAAAAUGACAAUCCUCAAAGCGGGCUAUAAAAACAUCAUUUGUCAAAGGUUUAAGAUAUUUUAUAAUAGAUGGAGAAUCAAAACCUACAUAAAUCCCAAGUUGUCGUUGGGGACCUUCAUUUUAGUGCGUUGUGUAGGUGCAAUUGGUACAUAUACUGCACAACCAAAAAUCCAUAAGUAAGAGAUAUUUGGUUGUUUUCCAAGUAUAAGUUGUAAAGGGAAGUAUUCAUGAUAAGUUGUAGAUCAAAUACGGAUUAAAGCUACAACAUGCAUAAUAGCAUGUUCCUAGGCAGAAGUAGGUAAUUUGAUUUUCAUUAGUAAUAGUCAAUCUAUUAAUUGAAGAUGUUUGAUGAAGAAUUCUGUUAAACCAUUUUAGGUAUGAGUAUGGGUAAUAGGAUGCUCAAUAUUUAUUCAUAUUGACAUACAAUAGUCAAUGAAUGUUUGAGAAGUAAAUUUUCUAGCAUUAUUAAGACGUAUUGUCUCAAUUGGAUAAUAUGGAAAUUGUGCUUGUAAUCUGGUCAUUUGUGCAAAGAGCCUAGCAAAGGCAACAUUACGUGUAAAAAGGAGACAAAUAUGUGACCACCUAGUAGAAGCAUCUAUUAAGAUCAUAAAAUAACGAAAUGGUUCACAUGGUGGAUGGAUAGAACCACAUAUGUCUCCAUGUAUUCUUUCUAAAAAGACCGGUGACUUGGAUAUGAUUUUAGUAAAAGAUGGUCUUACUAUCAAUUUACCUUGUGAGCAGGCAACACGUGAGUAUUCGUUGGGCAAAAGAAUCUUUUGGUUCUUUAGUGGAUUCCCAUGUGAGUGUUCGAUUAUUUAACGCAUCAUUGAAAACCCUAGGUAACCUAACGUGUCUUGUCAAAGGACAAAAAAUUUUGGGUUGUUGAACUUCUAGUUCAUGACAACAUAUGAUUCAUAUGUUUUAUAGUUGUAUGAUACAACCUAAAAAAGAAAGCUGGGAAUUUUCCACUAUAAGUUUUCUCCAUAUAUAAUACAAGUAAUGUAAAGAUAUUCUAUAUUAUCUUCAUUCAUAGUUUCAAUUUGAUAUCCAUUUCUUCAGAUAUCCUUGAAAUUGAGCAAAAUUAUUUUAGAUUUGCUAGAAGAUAAAACAUCAUUUAUAUGGAAUCUAGUUCUAUUUGGUAGCAUUAUGUUUGCUUUUUCGAAGCCUUUAACCAAGUUUGUAGUGCCAAAUAUGGUACUUACAUUAACUUUUAUUAAUAUCAAUCCGAGGAAGUAUCUUUUAUCUCAAAGAAUUGUGUAUGUGGUUGCACAGUCUGCGAGACAUACAUCAUCCUCAUUCAUCUUGAGACAAAAUAACACAGAUUUUAGAUAUAACUAAUAUUAAAAAAAGGGCAUAAUAUAAAUAACAAUAUAUAAAAAAAAAAUGUAAUAACAAGAUAUAAAUAUAAGACAUAACAAUAUAUUAUUUGAUAUAUAAAGUAACAUCAAUCAAUGUUAGUAUUAUCAUCAUUUAUUAAAUGGUUAGUUUUUUACUUGGACCUCCAAAUAAAUCAAUGUCAUAGUAAGCUAGGUCCAAUCUAUCACCAUCAGUAAAGUUCAUCUCUAUCUAUUUUCCUUUUACUUUUAUUGAUACUUAGUAAAGGUCGACUAAAUGUUUGAGUGUAUCAUAGCUACGUAACUAAUUUCCCUUCAUACCACAUCUAUAACAAUUAUUUUAAUGGUUCUUGGAAGGUUUAUCUUGUAUACACUUCCCAUUUUCUUGUUUUGCCUCUGUAUUACUUGACUUUUGGUGGUGUAAUGAGGCUUUAUUUUUAUGAGAAUUUGAGGAAUUACUACCAUAAAAAUCAUGGUAAUGAGGAUUCCUUUCACGACCACAUCCUCGUCCUUGUCCACGUCUACGAGUUUGGGACGAUAUUACAUUUGCUUCAGGGAAUGGUUCAGAUUCAGUUGGAUGAGACUAGUGAUUUCUCAUCAAAAACUCAUUAUUUUGUUUAGUAACAAGAAGACAUGAUAUUAAUUCAGAGUUUUUUGUAUAUCAACGCUCUUGAUAUUGCUGCUAUAGAAGCACAUUUGAGGCAUGAAAUGUAGUAAAAGUUUUUUUAAACAUGUUUUUUUUGUGAUUUUUUCUCCACACAACUUUAAUUGAGAGCUGAUUUUGAACAAUGCGGAUUUAUAUUCACAAACAGUUUUAAAAUCUUGCAACCUUAAGUGCAUCCAAUCAUAUCAAGCUUUUGGGAGAAUCAUAGUUUUCUAGUGGUCAUAUCUUUCUUUCAAAUUACUUCAUAGAGUAAAAAGGUCUUUUACUAUAAGAUACUCACUUUUUAAACCUUCAUGGAGAUGAUGGUAAAGGAAAAUCAAUGCUUUUGCGUGAUCCUAUGGGAAUGCUUGAUUUCUUUCUUUGAUUGUAGCUCCAAGGUUCAUUGGAUUAAGAUGAAUUUCAACAUCAAGUAUCCAAUAUAGAUAGUUCUUUCCCAAAA